AACGAACGCUGGCGGCAUGCCUAACACAUGCAAGUCGAACGAGACCUUCGGGUCUAGUGGCGCACGGGUGCGUAACGCGUGGGAACCUGCCCUUAGGUUCGGACUAACUCCCCGAAAGGGGUGCUAAUACCGGAUCAUGUCUUCGGACCAAAGAUUUAUCGCCUUUGGAUGGGCCCGCGUUGGAUUAGCUAGUUGGUAGGGUAAAAGCAUACUAAGGCGACGAUCCAUAACUGGUCUGAGAGGAUGCUCAGCCACACUUGGACUGAGACACGGCCCAGACUCCUACGGGAGGCAGCAGUGGGGAAUAUUGGACAAUGGGCGAAAGCCUGAUCCAGCAAUGCCGCGUGAGUGAUGAAGGCCUUAGGGUUGUAAAGCUCUUUUACCCGGGAUGAUAAUGACAGUACCGGGAGAAUAAGCUCCGGCUAACUCCGUG
rnacentral:rRNA from 1 species